rnacentral:rRNA from 1 species
AAGUCCCGUAACGAGCGCAACCCUUGUCCUCAGUUACCAGCGGUUCGGCCGGGAACUCUGGGGAGACUGCCGGUGACAAACCGGAGGAAGGUGGGGAUGACGUCAAGUCAUCAUGGCCCUUAUGGGUAGGGCUACACACGUGCUACAAUGGAGUGUACAGAGGGUUGCAACGUCGCGAGGCCGAGCCAAUCCCUUAAAACACUUCGUAGUCCGGAUCGCAGUCUGCAAUUCGACUGCGUGAAGUCGGAAUCGCUAGUAAUCGCGAAUCAGAAUGUCGCGGUGAAUACGUUCCCGGGCCUU